GCACCUGUAGCUCAGUUGGAUAGAGUGACGGCCUCCGAAGCCGUAGGUCGCGCGUUCGAAUCGCGCCAGGUGCG
rnacentral:tRNA from 1 species